GACGAACGCUGGCGGCGUGCUUAACACAUGCAAGUCGAGCGGUAAGGCCCUUUCGGGGGUACGACGAGCGGCGAACGGGUGAGUAACACGUGGGUGACCUGCCCUCAGCUCUGGGAUAAGCCUGGGAAACCGGGUCUAAUACUGGAUAUGACUCCAUGACGCAUGUUGUGGGGUGGAAAGCCUUGUGCGGCUGAGGAUGGGCCCGCGGCCUAUCAGCUUGUUGGUGGGGNGAUGCCUACCAAGGCGACGACGGUAGCCGGCCUGAGAGGGCGGACCGGCCACACUGGGACUGAGACACGGCCCAGACUCCUACGGGAGGCAGCAGUGGGGAAUCUUGCGCAAUGGGCGAAAGCCUGACGCAGCGACGCCGCGUGAGGGAUGACGGCCUCGGUGUAACG
rnacentral:rRNA from 1 species